GAUGAACGCUGGCGGCGUGCCUAAUACAUGCAAGUCGAGCGAACGGACGAGAAGCUUGCUUUUCUGAUGUUAGCGGCGGACGGGUGAGUAACACGUGGAUAACCUACCUAUAAGACUGGGAUAACUUCGGGAAACCGGAGCUAAUACCGGAUAAUAUUUUGAACCGCAUGGUUCAAAAGUGAAAGACGGUCUUGCUGUCACUUAUAGAUGGAUCCGCGCUGCAUUAGCUAGUUGGUAAGGUAACGGCUUACCAAGGCAACGAUGCAUAGCCGACCUGAGAGGGUGAUCGGCCACACUGGAACUGAGACACGGUCCAGACUCCUACGGGAGGCCGCAGUAGGGAAUCUUCCGCAAUGGGCGAAAGCCUGACGGAGCAACGCUGCGUGAGUGAUGAAGGUCUUCGGAUCGUAAAACUCUGUUAUUAGGGAAGAACAUAUGUGUAAGUAACUGUGCACAUCUUGACGGUACCUAAUCAGAAAGCCACGGCUAACUACGUG
rnacentral:rRNA from 1 species